GUUAAAUUGUAGACAUUUUAUAAAAACAAAAAAGACUUGUCGCCUUAUACAAACUAUUAUACGAACAGACUUUCCAAACAUUUUUCGAACAAAUAGAUGGGCGCAUGUUAAUUGUAAAUAUUAUUCUGUUGUACAGCAAGGUUUAUUUUGUGGAAAAUAAUAUAUACCUCUACGUGAUGCGCUUGAAAAUGGAGAUCAACUUAAAAAUGAAAAGGUAUGGCACAAGCUUCUGUAAUAAAAGAAAUAAAAGAAGCCAAACACUUUUCUGUCCGUGCUAAAUCAAUUAAUUCUUACCACACAGAUCAAGUAUCACUUGUACUAAGAUUUGUUGAUAAGAAACAUGACAUAAACGAGGAGAUUGUGGCGUUUGUAAAGUUGGAGCUUGUGAGAGCCAAAGAUAUUUUUACUAAAAUUAAACAAACUUUACAUGACCUUAUUUUGAAUAUUGAAUAUAUGAGGCCAAUGAUACAAUAGUGCAGCAUCAAUUACAGGUUCGUUAUCAGGUGUACAAGCUCAAUUUCUAAGCAUUCAACCAAAAGCAAAAUCCCCCGAUUGCGCGUGUUAUAGACUGAAUUUGGUUAUUAGUCAUUCUUGCAUAAUAACUUAAAUAAGAAAAUUGUUAGAUAUAAUGAAGGAGUUUACAAAAUGCGAAGAGAACUUCUUAACUUAAUGUACCAAAACAAAAACCAACUUCACUCAUUAAAUAGACCAAAAGUUCUUACUAA